UACAGAGGGUGCAAGCGUUGUUCGGAAUUAUUGGGCGUAAAGGGCGCGUAGGCGGUGCGGUAAGUCUGUAGUGAAAUCUCUGGGCUCAACUCAGAGUCUGCUGCAGAAACUGCCGUGCUUGAGUGUGGGAGAGGUGAGUGGAAUUCCCGGUGUAGCGGUGAAAUGCGUAGAUAUCGGGAGGAACAUCUGUGGCGAAGGCGGCCACCUGGACCAGCACUGACACUGAGGCACGAAAGCGUGGGGAGCAAACAGG
rnacentral:rRNA from 1 species